rnacentral:lncRNA from 1 species
AGCUUUCUUCCCGCCAGGCCCCCUCCACCCGAUCGCCGCGCGCUCUCCGAACCAAAAGGCGACCUCACGAAAUGCCCCUUUGAGCUCAAAGGCUAGUUACCCCCAGGGGCCCUUCCACUCUCGGGGACAGGCGAAACCUCUUUGUCUCUGCCUCGGCCUGCGGCCCCCAGCCCAGCCUCCGCGCUUUCCCUCCGCCAGUCCUUGUCAAUCAAACCUGGUGCCAAACGCGGCAGCUGAAGUUUUCAGGGACACAUUUGCUUCUCCCCUUGAAGAACCAGUUACAAAGCGUGAUGUCCUCUCUGGGGUCCCAUCAGAACAAAGAAACAGGUCUAAAGACCCUCAUUCCAGAGAGCAUCCUGCCCCAUAUCCAGAAUGAAAUCCAUGCUCAGAGAUGCCAAGAAGAAUCUAGACAGACAGGCCUUUCUAGGCUGUACAAGAAGCAUGAUGCCAGCAUCUGCUUCUGGUGACAACCUCAAGAAGUUUACAAUUGGCCGCGUGCGGUGGCUCAUGCCUGUAAUGCCAGCACUUCGGGAGGCGGAGACAGAUGGAUCAUUUGAGGUCAGGAGUUCGAGACCAGGCUGGCCAACAUGGUGAAACCCCAUCUCUACUAAAAAUACAAAAAUUAGCUGGGCAUGGUGGCAUGUGUCUGGAAUCCCUGCUACUCAGGAGGCUGAGGCAAGAGGAUCACUUGGAACUUGGGAGGCAGAGGUUGCUGUGAGCUGAGAUCACACCACUGUACUCCAGCCUGGGCAACAGAGUGAUACUCUAUCUCAAAAAAAAAAGAAAGAAAGAAAGAAAAGAAAAAGAAGCUUACAAUCAUGGUGGAAGGCGAAGAGGAGGAGCAGGCAUAUCACAUGGCCAAAAAGGGAGCAAGAGAAAGGUGAGAAAGACACUAGACUCUUUUUAAAACCAGCUCUCACAUGAGCUAAUGGAAUAAGAACUCACUCAUUACCACAAGGACAGAACCCAGCCAUUCAUGAGGGACCUGCCACCAUGACCCAAAAACCUCCUACUUGACCCAACCUCCAACACUGGGGAUA